UAGAUUUGACAUGCUGGGAAAAGCCACAGAGAUGUGGUGUCCUUCGGGGCCCAGCAC
rnacentral:rRNA from 1 species